AGAGUCAGUCUGCGGGAGCAUUUAGUAGCAGCAGAGCAGCCACAAGAAGUACAGCUAAAGCAAACACGUCGUAACCGAUGGUGAAUUCUGGUACAAGGGCGAAACGAGGGGACAGACACGUUGGAUGCAUAGAGUAUAAAAAGGGAAGAGAGAAACAAAUUGCGGAAACGAAAGCUAAACUUGGCAGAGAGAUGUGCGCAGAGGUGCCCUUUGGAAAAGUGAAACUGGUUACAAAAAUAAUGGGAGUACGCAAAUACAUACGUACCAACAUAAAUCGUCCGUUUUGGUAUGGAACGCCCCAUAUACAUAAGUAUACAUAUGUAUCAAACGCGAAAGGAGCAUUUAAAUAAUGGCUCGCAGAUUAAAUGUCAACGUGCUGUGAAAAUAAUAAAGUGAAAAUGCGCACCAACAAAAAAAUCGACUACAUCAAUAAAGUACAAAUUUCCAUUUAAUUUACUACGAGUCAAAUACAGUGACAAGUUUCAAAGAAUACUAGUAAAAAGCCUGGAAGUACUAUAUCCUGGCGUUCACAAAAUCCUUUUGGAACAUUUAAUACUUUUUACUGGAGUAACUAAAAAUUUACAUUAAUAAAUUCUACUUAGUCGAGAACUACAAUAAAAACCGAAGAAAAGAUCUAGUUUUUUAGGUACCGGUUAGCUUUAUGUAUGAACAUACAUAUGUAUGUAUGUAUGUAUGUAUUUCCACUGCUUAAGAUUUGGUCAGCAAACUCACACCCACCUGUAGACGUCAACAACAGCAAUGAACGUGCAGGAUUUUGCGAGACAUGCUCAGGAAAUUGCAAUAAAUUAGUGACAAAAGUAACAGCGGCAGCAGUAGCAGAAAGAAGCGAAAGGGAUAGCGGAAAUGAUGUGAAUUCGUUUAUUUAACUGAUUUACUACAUGCUCAAUUACCGAGUAGUACACUUAAGCUACCUCAAACGUGGCAGAAAUAGAAAAACAAAUUUUGAAGCGCACAAAGUUUUGCUCGAUCUAAGUUGAAAAUCGCAUGCGAUAAAAUUUAUAAUCAGCUGCAAAAAGAUCUAUGUUUGUAAAUAAAUCAAAAUAAUUUUUAAAGCGAAACAAAAUCAUUCGAAAAUUCGCAGACCAAAUGAAAGUGUAACAUUAAAAAUAAAGAAGAACACUUAAAAUUAAUACCAAAAAUUGCAAAAACUCAGUUUAUUAAGUAAAAGAAAACCAAUAAAGGCAAAAAAAGGUUUAAGAAGUGACAAACAAACAAAAGGCCAAACACAUAUAACAGCAUUAACUGCAGACUUGCCAUGAAAUAAAAAUAUAAAAACAAA